GAUUCGUCACACUAUCAUUAACUGAAUCCAUAGGUUAAUGAGGCGAACCGGGGGAACUGAAACAUCUAAGUACCCCGAGGAAAAGAAAUCAACCGAGAUUCCCCCAGUAGCGGCGAGCGAACGGGGAGGAGCCCAGAGCCUGAAUCAGCAUGUGUGUUAGUGGAAGCGUCUGGAAAGUCGCGCGAUACAGGGUGACAGCCCCGUACACAAAAGCGCAUGUGUUGUGAGCUCGAUGAGUAGGGCGGGACACGUGGUAUCCUGUCUGAAUAUGGGGGGACCAUCCUCCAAGGCUAAAUACUCCUGACUGACCGAUAGUGAACCAGUACCGUGAGGGAAAGGCGAAAAGAACCCCGGCGAGGGGAGUGAAAAAGAACCUGAAACCGUGUACGUACAAGCAGUGGGAGCACCCUUCGGGGUGUGACUGCGUACCUUUUGUAUAAUGGGUCAGCGACUUAUAUUCUGUAGCAAGGUUAACCGAAUAGGGGAGCCGGAGGGAAACCGAGUCUUAAUUGGGCGUUAAGUUGCAGGGUAUAGACCCGAAACCCGGUGAUCUAGCCAUGGGCAGGUUGAAGGUUGGGUAACACUAACUGGAGGACCGAACCGACUAAUGUUGAAAAAUUAGCGGAUGACCUGUGGCUGGGGGUGAAAGGCCAAUCAAACCGGGAGAUAGCUGGUUCUCCCCGAAAGCUAUUUAGGUAGCGCCUCGUGAAUUCAUCUCCGGGGGUAGAGCACUGUUUCGGCUAGGGGGCCAUCCCGGCUUACCAACCCGAUGCAAACUGCGAAUACCGGAGAAUGUUAUCACGGGAGACACACGGCGGGUGCUAACGUCCGUCGUGAAGAGGGAAACAACCCAGACCGCCAGCUAAGGUCCCAAAGUCAUGGUUAAGUGGGAAACGAUGUGGGAAGGCCCAGACAGCCAGGAUGUUGGCUUAGAAGCAGCCAUCAUUUAAAGAAAGCGUAAUAGCUCACUGGUCGAGUCGGCCUGCGCGGAAGAUGUAACGGGGCUAAACCAUGCACCGAAGCUGCGGCAGCGACACUGUGUGUUGUUGGGUAGGGGAGCGUUCUGUAAGCCUGUGAAGGUGUGUCGUGAGGCAUGCUGGAGGUAUCAGAAGUGCGAAUGCUGACAUAAGUAACGAUAAAGCGGGUGAAAAGCCCGCUCGCCGGAAGACCAAGGGUUCCUGUCCAACGUUAAUCGGGGCAGGGUGAGUCGACCCCUAAGGCGAGGCCGAAAGGCGUAGUCGAUGGGAAACGGGUUAAUAUUCCCGUACUUGGUGUUACUGCGAAGGGGGGACGGAGAAGGCUAUGUUGGCCGGGCGACGGUUGUCCCGGUUUAAGCGUGUAGGUGUGUGUUCCAGGUAAAUCCGGUUCACUUUAACACUGAGGCGUGACGACGAGGCACUACGGUGCUGAAGCAACAAAUGCCCUGCUUCCAGGAAAAGCCUCUAAGCAUCAGGUAACAUCAAAUCGUACCCCAAACCGACACAGGUGGUCAGGUAGAGAAUACCAAGGCGCUUGAGAGAACUCGGGUGAAGGAACUAGGCAAAAUGGUGCCGUAACUUCGGGAGAAGGCACGCUGACACGUAGGUGAAGUGAUUUACUCAUGGAGCUGAAGUCAGUCGAAGAUACCAGCUGGCUGCAACUGUUUAUUAAAAACACAGCACUGUGCAAACACGAAAGUGGACGUAUACGGUGUGACGCCUGCCCGGUGCCGGAAGGUUAAUUGAUGGGGUCAGCGCAAGCGAAGCUCCUGAUCGAAGCCCCGGUAAACGGCGGCCGUAACUAUAACGGUCCUAAGGUAGCGAAAUUCCUUGUCGGGUAAGUUCCGACCUGCACGAAUGGCGUAAUGAUGGCCAGGCUGUCUCCACCCGAGACUCAGUGAAAUUGAACUCGCUGUGAAGAUGCAGUGUACCCGCGGCAAGACGGAAAGACCCCGUGAACCUUUACUAUAGCUUGACACUGAACAUUGAGCCUUGAUGUGUAGGAUAGGUGGGAGGCUUUGAAGCGU
rnacentral:rRNA from 1 species